rnacentral:rRNA from 1 species
CCUACGGGGGGCAGCAGUGAGGAAUAUUGGUCAAUGGGCGCGAGCCUGAACCAGCCAAGUAGCGUGAAGGAUGACUGCCCUACGGGUUGUAAACUUCUUUUAUAAAGGAAUAAAGUGAGGCACUUGUUCCUUUUUGUAUGUACUUUAUGAAUAAGGAUCGGCUAACUCCGUGCCAGCAGCCGCGGUAAUACGGCGGAUCCGAGCGUUAUCCGGAGUUAUUGGGUUUAAGGGGAGCGUAGAUGGGUUGUUAAGUCAGUUGUGAAAGUUUGAGGCUCAACCGUAAAAUUGCAAUUGAUACUGGCAGUCUUGAGUACAGUAGAGGUAGGCGGAAUUCGUGGUGUAGCGGUGAAAUGCUUAGAUAUCAGGAAGAACUCCGAUUGCGAAGGCAGCUUACUAAACUGCCACUGACAUUGAUGCUCGAAAGUGUGGGGAGCAAACAGGAUUAGAUACCCUGGUAGUC